rnacentral:rRNA from 1 species
AACGAACGCUGGCGGCAUGCCUAACACAUGCAAGUCGAACGAGACCUUCGGGUCUAGUGGCGCACGGGUGCGUAACGCGUGGGAACCUGCCCUUAGGUUCGGAAUAACUCCCCGAAAGGGGUGCUAAUACCGGAUAAUGUCUUCGGACCAAAGAUUUAUCGCCUUUGGAUGGGCCCGCGUUGGAUUAGCUAGUUGGUAGGGUAAAAGCCGACCAAGGCGACGAUCCAUAGCUGGUCUGAGAGGAUGAUCAGCCACACUGGGACUGAGACACGGCCCAGACUCCUACGGGAGGCAGCAGUGGGGAAUAUUGGACAAUGGGCGAAAGCCUGAUCCAGCAAUGCCGCGUGAGUGAUGAAGGCCUUAGGGUUGUAAAGCUCUUUUACCCGGGAUGAUAAUGACAGUACCGGGAGAAUAAGCUCCGGCUAACUCCGUG